rnacentral:rRNA from 1 species
UACGUAGGGUGCAAGCGUUGUCCGGAAUUAUUGGGCGUAAAGAGCUUGUAGGCGGUCUGUCGCGUCUGCUGUGAAAAUCCGGGGCUCAACCCCGGACUUGCAGUGGGUACGGGCAGACUAGAGUGUGGUAGGGGAGACUGGAAUUCCUGGUGUAGCGGUGAAAUGCGCAGAUAUCAGGAGGAACACCGAUGGCGAAGGCGGUGCUCUGGGCCGGAACUGACGCUGAGGAGCGAAAGCGUGGGGAGCAAACAGG